AAUCAACGCUGGCGGCGUGCCUAACACAUGCAAGUCGAACGCGAAAGCCCCGCAAGGGGUUAGUAGAGUGGCGAACGGGUGAGUAACACGUGGGUGACCUACCUUCGAAUGGGGGAUAACGUCCCGAAAGGGACGCUAAUACCGCAUAACAUCCUGCUCUUGAACGAGUGGAGAUCAAAGCCGGGGAUCGCAAGACCUGGCGUUUGAAGAGGGGCCCGCGUCUGAUUAGCUAGUUGGUGAGGUAACGGCCCACCAAGGCGACGAUCAGUA
rnacentral:rRNA from 1 species